rnacentral:rRNA from 1 species
UACCAGCACCCCGAGUGGUCGGGACGAUUAUUGGGCCUAAAGCAUCCGUAGCCGGUUCUACAAGUCUUCCGUUAAAUCCACCUGCUUAACAGAUGGGCUGCGGAGGAUACUAUGGAGCUAGGAGGCGGGAGAGGCAAGCGGUACCUAGUGGGUAGGGGUAAAAUCCGUUGAUCCAUUGAAGACCACCAGUGGCGAAGGCGGCUUGCCAGAACGCACUCGACGGUGAGGGAUGAAAGCUGGGGGAGCAAACCGG